rnacentral:rRNA from 1 species
UACGGGGGGGGCAAGCGUUGUUCGGAAUUACUGGGCGUAAAGGGCUCGUACGGCGGCCAACUAAGUCAGACGUGAAAUCCCCAGGCUCAACCUGGGAACUGCGUCUGAUACUGGAUGGCUUGAAUCCGGGAGAGGGAUGCAGAAUUCCAGGUGUAGCGGUGAAAUGCGUAGAUAUCUGGAGGAAUACCGGUGGCGAAGGCGGCAUCCUGGACCGGCAUUGACGCUGAGGAGCGAAAGCCAGGGGAGCAAACGGG